rnacentral:rRNA from 1 species
UACGUAGGGCGCAAGCGUUAUCCGGAAUUAUUGGGCGUAAAGAGCUCGUAGGCGGUUUGUCGCGUCUGCCGUGAAAGUCCGGGGCUCAACUCCGGAUCUGCGGUGGGUACGGGCAGACUAGAGUGAUGUAGGGGAGACUGGAAUUCCUGGUGUAGCGGUGAAAUGCGUAGAUAUCGGGAGGAACACCAGAGGCGAAGGCGGGUUACUGGGCUGAUACUGACGCUGAUGCGCGAAAGCUAGGGGAGCAAACGGG